CCUGCUGAUAAAUUUUUUAAAUUUAGCUUAAAUUUAAGUAGUGCGUUCCUUUAAAAAAUUAUUAGUUAAAUUAGAGAAUAAUUUAAAAUUUGGAUUUUGGAGUGUAAGAAAGUGUGCUACUUUCUUCAGAGCUGUUACUUUGAAGUACCACGUGGUGGCAGCAGUUUUGCAUUAAUGUAUUGCUGAUGCCAAUGUUUGUGUCAGAGCAAACCUUAGCUUCAACUUUGUGCAUAAGUCAUACUAUAUUACUAGUAAUGGUCUCCUUUUCUCCAAAACAAUUGUUUGGAAGUGUCGUGUUUUCCUCUGGCUCUCUCCUUUUUGUUUUCAAAGGUGGAUGGGUAAUGACUUUAAAGAAAACUGUCCACAGUGCAGCAGCUGCCAAUGUCCCGAUUUUCUGUAAUGCAGUUCUGUUUCACUUAUGCUCUUGUGUUCUUGUAUGGCCAUUGUCACUGUUCCCGUCAUGAUGUUUUGCUAUGGUCAGUCCUAGCUGUCUUCUUUUAUUGUGUCUCUGCUGAUAAAUAGUGGUGUUACCAUGUAUCACGGUCCACUCAGUGGACCCAUGAUGGUUCGUUAACCAUGAUCUCGAAGCACAAAAAAUCAAGGCAACCAUGCCAAGGGGUUAUGCUUCAAUCAAACAGCACAAUUUUAUUGUUUGCCCGUAAAGCGGAGUGCCAUAGAAAGACAAAAAGUGAAUAAAAGGAAAAGUAAAAAGAAAAGGAAAGAGGAUUGUAGCUACCACCACGGGUCCAAGGCGUCCUGUGGUCCCAGGUCCAGGCAGCGUCCCGCCGGUCCUUCCGAUUGUCGUGAUCCCUGGUGGGGAAGAUCUCCAGAGUUCAGUUGCUAAGAAGGCAUCUUUUUAUGCCAAGCAACACACCUUGCUCCUCCUCUGGUCCAUGGACUUCUGCCAGUCUCCGCCCUCUCGAGCCAGGUUAGCUUGCCCCAGAAGUGGGUAGCUUCAGACCAGGAGGCAUGUUCUCGUAUUGUUUUCUGGUUCGUUGUUAUGAGCACAGUUGUGAUCCAUCUUCUGGACAGCUGUUAUGCAGCCUUAUUCAAUCCCAGGUGGCAGGGAAUGGCAUAGUACUCCUCGUACCGUUCAGUUCUCCUUCCCAGGGUGUUCAGUCCCAGGUUGCAGGGAACGGCAUCGUACUCCUCGUACCGUGCAGUUCUCUUUCCCAGGGUCUUUGUGUCUUGGUGUCCAUGAGGACCACAUUCCAUCUCCAGGUCUCUGUUGGCAAUGUUGAGACAAUAUUGUUCUCUUUAGACCGACUCUUACACCAUGUUAGGAAUGUUUAGUAUGAUUAAUUCUUAUGUCUCUUGAGGAACAAUUGCAGUAAACCUUAAAAAGUAUUUUUGAGCAGCUUUGUGAAGGUGAGUUCAAAUGAACAAUCCUAGGUAUGAAUUUUAAAGAGUCUUGUUCUUUCUUGAACAUUUUGUGUAUCCUUAUCAAAAGGAAAUCAGAUUGUGGCUCGUGGGACUUCUUUUUAGAUGUAAGUAUAUAUACAUGUGUAUUUGUAUACAGUCAGUGAUUUAGUCCAUGUCAUAGAAAGAUUAUGCUUAUGAGCAACACGGGCAUGAAAAGUAUGUUGUUUAAAGAUCAAAUUCUUGUAAGUCUUGUGAAAAUACAAUCUGUUGGGUAUGGACUUAGCAGUAGGCAUUGUCAUUCUAUACCUUCAUUUUAAUUUUACUGUCCUGUUCCUUUUUUUUUGUUUAUUUACUGGUAGCUUCUCUCAGCACUUGUAAGAGUUUUGAGGUAUUUACAUCUGUUGGUUGGAGGAAUCUAGGUAAAUAGGAAGCCUGGGGAAGUAAUUGUUGAAAUAGUAUGCAGUGACAGAGUGGCUUUCCUCUGUGUUUCUCAAACUUCAGAAAGUUUAGCUUUUGAGGUAGUAAUCUAGAAAUACUGUGCUGUGUUACAUAAGCUUAGACAAUUACAAUUGAUCAGCCAUUAAAAUUAAAAUUACUUUGUAUGGUUGCUGCACAAUAAGCAGAAUAACUUGUUUCUAGCCCAGCGUUUUUCUUUUUUGCUUUACUUCCUUUAAUGGAAAUCAUUACUUUUAAAAGCAUUGUUAUAACCAGGGGAUUCACUGUGAUAGUAUUGAAGCUGCAUUUCAUGAGAAAAGAUGUUCAAGAGUUUCAGUGAACUCUGCUUCAGGCAUUUGAAACCUGUGCUAAUGAAGUACCAGGUUUCCCCUCCCUCCCACCCCUGUAUGACUUCCAUCCAAAGCAGUACAUUUAUUGAAGCUUAUCUAGAACAAAUGGGAAGGUGUUUGUGGAAACAUCUUAAUGGUUGAAACCUCCUUUUUACAACAUUUCCAGUUACUUGUUGUCAUAAAAGUGCAGCUUAAUCAUCCAAAGCCUAUCCAGAUAAUCUCUUAAAAGUUUAAGUUUAUAAAAUUGGAUAGUGUGUAUUCAGAUAGCCACUUUGGUUUUGCACUCUUACCUACUUGAUUUUCCAUCCAUCCCUUUUACACCUACUAGUAGGGUGAGUUAAGGGCAAAUAAAUGAACUUCAAAUCAAAAAAGCAAAGGCAUGUACUGUUCACUCAUCCUGUGAAUUGUGACAUUUGAAACACUAGCACAGUGUGUCUUCUUCAGAACACUUGAUUGUAUUAGCAUAUCCUUCUCCCAUUGUUUUGCAGAGUGAAUACUUGUUGAUUGCAACUGUAGUGUUAGAAUUGGUAUGCUUGGGGACGGAGAAACUGCUUCAGGUCAAAGAAGAACCAUUAAUUGGAGUGAUGAAACAGCAAGAGAAGGGACAAGUCUUCUAAAUAGUAUGCUGGCCCAUCACCUAUAUUAGCUGUGUGGUUUCUGUGGGCACAGUGGAAGGACUUGGGAGUUCUUGGGAGUCAAGAGUUUGGUUUUCCCUGGGCUGUAAGCUCCUGGCCAGUAUCACCUGUGUAUGCAUAGCAUAGAGGGCUGUUUGCUGCUGGUUGAAUUAUUUGUGAAUGUACUUUCUUCAUGUAUGUUUGUGGUGGUAAAGAAGGUGGAAGAGGCUGCAGAAGAGUUUCCACACUGUCUGUGUGCUGAGUAGGUCAUAGCUGCAUUGGUUAAUUGUUGCUUGGUGAGUCUUGGCUCAUUUUUAAGCCUUCUGUACCCACCCCCUUUUUUUUCCCCAGACUUCCCUUCUCUUUCCUUGACUCUUUGGUGCAGACCCAGGCAAGGGUGCUUCGAUCUCAUGCUUGUUUUGUGUGGGCUCUCAGAUUUCUAAUAGUUGAACUUUUUUUUUCCUUUGGCCUGGUCUUACUGUUCUUUUGGUUUAGUUGUGUGUAGAAAGUGGUUUGCUUCUUGUAAGCUUAGUGCAGUGUCUGAAGAGGGUAUUUUUCUGUCUAGGCUGUCUUACCUAGAUGCUUAACUGUUGUCAUACACCAAGUAGUCUGUUUUUCUGUUUGGCAGUUUAGUGUUGUGAUACACAUCAAAGGCAGCGUAUUCUUGGAGGAUAUGAACUUGGAGGACAGUACCAAGAUGAUGGUUCCACUGCCUUUGUGUGUUUUCCUUACAGUAUCUGAAACGGUGAUGAUUUAUCAGGAAAAACAAAAGUUCUAGUAUCUUUGUUGUGCUUAUUUCCUAGAUGAUGAAUUUCACAGAAUAGCAUAUCUUAGGCUGUAGCAAAAAACUUGUGGAGUUGCAUGAUUUAAAAUGUCAGUGAAAAAUGGAUGCUUGGAAGCAUACUUUUGUGUGGGUGUUUCCUCUCACUUGUAUGUGUGCCUCUCCAGAUCCAUUCUUAAAAUUUGCUGUGGUUUCUGAGCUAGCACAGCAGAUGUAUGACACACAUGUUUAAUUAAAGAAGCAAUUUAUCCUGUUCCUUUCCUGCUUCUAAAGUUUUGUUUACUGCAAUUACAAGUUUUGCCUACUUCCAGAUACUGCUUUGGGACCACACUCGCAAGGAGACAUGCCAGUGAAAACAUUUAGCCAGUGGCUUUUCCUGGCUAUGUAUCUAACAGAACCAAAUUUUCAGGAUGUGUUCUCCUCUUAAAGCUCCUAGUUUAAGAUCUCGUUCCUAUUUGGUGCUCAGCCAGUAAGUUAAUGGCCCCAUUCAGUUCAUUACAAUUUAUUUUGAGUUAGCAUUUGGUUAGUUUUAUGUGGCUACUUAGCUUUGUUACGUUCUUUCCUGUCUUGGUGCUGUAGGAUCAUUGCUUCUGUACUACCUGUAAGAGCUGCUGUCAUAUAGCAGUUCUGUGCUUACAUGUUGAAUUGUUCAAGAACUUAAGAAAAUAUCUUGCAGAAAUUGGGUGUGUAUAUAUACGUAUGUAAAGCAAAAAAUCAGUCAUCAAUUGUGCAUUCUUUUAUAUCCCUCCCUUUUAAGAUAUUUGCUGUUUGUGGUGUUUUGUUCUCUCUUGUCUUGGGCCACUGCUGUUAUCCUCUGGUUACAUGUGUAAUGCAGUGUAUUAGAAGCUGAUGUUUGGCUGUUAUGUUGAUCUGGGUCUCUGUUUUAAGGACCCUGUUUUAGAGAAGCUCUGGCUUGUAAGCAGGGCAAAACCAGCAGAUAAAAACUAUUGUCAGGAAGGCUGUAAUAUUUUCGUAAGUUUUCUGUGUGGUCAUUUUCUUUCCUUUAUUGUUUUUAUUUCAUCUUUAGCUGAUCAAAC